GUCAGAGCUACAAGCUAACUGGAGAUUAGAAAAUAAGACUACGUCUGUGUUUCCAAUGAAGCUGCGCCACUGUAACAGGGGGGGAAAACCCUGGCGUCUGUUUCUGUUUGCAUGCUUGGACCAUGCUUAGUGUUUUCACUGAUGACCUGUUGGGUUGAAGGAACAACGCAGCGGCCCUUUGGUGUCCUAUAUCAGCAGAGAGGGAACUGAACGCUGAUCUCUGAAGUGUUAAUGUUUGAGUUUCACAGGAUAACCAGGUUCAAUUGUUGUUUCUUUUCUUUAAAUGAUAUGAUCAUUAAAGGGUAACUACCGUUUUUUUUCCAACCUUU